rnacentral:rRNA from 1 species
GACGAACGCUGGCGGCGUGCUUAACACAUGCAAGUCGAACGGAAAGGCCCUGCUUUUGUGGGGUGCUCGAGUGGCGAACGGGUGAGUAACACGUGAGUAACCUGCCCUUGACUUUGGGAUAACUUCAGGAAACUGGGGCUAAUACCGGAUAGGAGCUCCUGCUGCAUGGUGGGGGUUGGAAAGUUUCGGCGGUUGGGGAUGGACUCGCGGCUUAUCAGCUUGUUGGUGGGGUAGUGGCUUACCAAGGCUUUGACGGGUAGCCGGCCUGAGAGGGUGACCGGCCACAUUGGGACUGAGAUACGGCCCAGACUCCUACGGGAGGCAGCAGUGGGGAAUAUUGCACAAUGGGCGGAAGCCUGAUGCAGCAACGGCGCGUGCGGGAUGACGGCCUUCGGGGUGUAAACCGCUUUCGCCUGUGACGAAGCGUGAGUGACGGUAAUGGGUAAAGAAGCAACGGCUAACUACGUG